UCUCGAUUGGUCUAGUGGUAAGGAUACCUGCUUGUCAUUGGACAGCUCGCAGGUGGCCGGGGUUCGAUUCCCCGAUCGAGAG